GGGUCCGUAGCUCAGGGGUAGAGCAGCCGGCUCAUAACCGGUCGGUCGCAGGUUCGAUCCCUGCCGGACCCACCA
rnacentral:tRNA from 1 species